rnacentral:rRNA from 1 species
CCUACGGGAGGCUGCAGUGGGGAAUAUUGCACAAUGGGCGCAAGCCUGAUGCAGCCAUGCCGCGUGUGUGAAGAAGGCCUUCGGGUUGUAAAGCACUUUCAGCGGGGAGGAAGGGGGUGAGGUUAAUAACCUCAUCGAUUGACGUUACCCGCAGAAGAAGCACCGGCUAACUCCGUGCCAGCAGCCGCGGUAAUACGGAGGGUGCAAGCGUUAAUCGGAAUUACUGGGCGUAAAGCGCACGCAGGCGGUCUGUCAAGUCGGAUGUGAAAUCCCCGGGCUCAACCUGGGAACUGCAUUCGAAACUGGCAGGCUAGAGUCUUGUAGAGGGGGGUAGAAUUCCAGGUGUAGCGGUGAAAUGCGUAGAGAUCUGGAGGAAUACCGGUGGCGAAGGCGGCCCCCUGGACAAAGACUGACGCUCAGGUGCGAAAGCGUGGGGAGCAAACAGGAUUAGAUACCCCUGUAGUC